rnacentral:rRNA from 1 species
AUGGCAAAGAUUGUGCUCCUCCUCUCCCUGCUGCUGCUCUUUUGGUGUGUCGCCCAGGCCCAGCUGGCCAAGGAGUUCUGCGUGGCCGACCUGGGCAGCAGCGACACGCCGGCCGGCUACCCGUGCAAGCCCCAGGCCGCGGUCACCGCCGACGACUUCUACUACCGCGGCCUGGGCACCACAGGCCCGACCGUGAACCCGUUCAAGAUCAGCUUGUCCUCGGCCUUCGUCACCAGCUUCCCCGGCGUGAACGGGCUGGGCAUCUCGGCGGCGCGCGUCGACUUCGCCGUAGGAGGCGUGGUGCCGCUGCACUGGCACCCGGCGGCCACGGAGCUCAUCUUCGUGGUGGAGGGCACCCUGUCGUGCGGCUUCAUCAGCGCCACCUCCAACAACAGGGUCUACACCAACACCCUGUACAAGGGCGACAUGAUGGUGCUCCCGCAGGGCCAGCCGCACUUCCAGUACAACCUCGGCAACACCACCGCCGUGCAGCAGCCCCAACCCCGGCGUGCAGACCCUCGACUUUGCGCUCUUCGCCAACAACCUCCCGUCGGAGGUGCUCACCAAGGUCACCCUCCUCGACGACUUGCAGGUCAAGAAGCUCAAGGCGCUCUUCGGCGGCACCGGAUGAGCCUCAGCUCUUCUCCAUCGCUCGCCAGCCCUCCCCCGGGGUUGAACUUGAACUUGAAUUGGUCGUGCUCGUGCUUCUCCGGCUUGAUUUACUUUAUUAUUCUAUCAUCUUUUAAAAUAUUUUGUUAUUUGUAUGCAUGCAUGUAUGUAUGUGGGGUGAAAUUUUCAGAAUUUUUGUGCUCUUCCGGUCUUGAAGAGAUUUAA